UCGCAGGCUGCAACCCGCCCUGCGUGAAGUUGGAAUUGCUAGUAAUCNCGGAUCAGCAUGCCGCGGUGAAUACGUUCCCGGGCCUUGUACACACCGCCCGUCACACCAUGGGAGCCGGUAAUACCCGAAGUCAGUAGCCUAACCGCAAGGGGGGCGCUGCCGAAGGUAGGAUUGGCGACUGGGGUGAAGUCGUAACAAGGUAGC
rnacentral:rRNA from 1 species